AUUGAACGCUGGCGGCAGGCUUAACACAUGCAAGUCGAGCGGAGAGAGGUAGCUUGCUACUGAUCUUAGCGGCGGACGGGUGAGUAAUGCUUAGGAAUCUACCUAUUAGUGGGGGACAACAUUUCGAAAGGAAUGCUAAUACCGCAUACGUCCUACGGGAGGAAGCAGGGGAUCUUCGGACCUUGCGCUAAUAGAUGAGCCUAAGUCGGAUUAGCUAGUUGGUGGGGUAAAGGCCUACCAAGGCGACGAUCUGUAGCGGGUCUGAGAGGAUGAUCCGCCACACUGGGACUGAGACACGGCCCAGACUCCUACGGGAGGCAGCAGUGGGGAAUAUUGGACAAUGGGCGCAAGCCUGAUCCAGCCAUGCCGCGUGUGUGAAGAAGGCCUUAUGGUUGUAAAGCACUUUAAGCGAGGAGGAGGCUACUUUAGUUAAUACCUAGAGAUAGUGGACGUUACUCGCAGAAUAAGCACCGGCUAACUCUGUGCCAGCCGCCGCCGUAAUAC
rnacentral:rRNA from 1 species